rnacentral:rRNA from 1 species
ACGAACGCUGGCGGCAGGCUUAACACAUGCAAGUCGAACGCGUGUAGCAAUACACGAGUGGCGCACGGGUGAGUAACGCGUGGAUAUCUGCCUUUUGGUUCGGAAUAACCCCGGGAAACUGGGGCUAAUACCGGAUGGUUCCUACGGGAUAAAGAUUUAUCGCCAAAAGAUGAGUCCGCGUACGAUUAGCUAGUUGGUGAGGUAAUGGCUCACCAAGGCGACGAUCGUUAGCUG